rnacentral:rRNA from 1 species
UUAUGUGAUCGUCUCUCGCAUAUCAAUAAGCGGAGGAAAAGAAACUAACAAGGAUUCCCCUAGUAACGGCGAGUGAAGCGGGAAGAGCUCAAAUUUGAAAUCUUAAAGGGUUUCCCUUUACGAAUUGUAGUUUAAAGAAGUGUUUUCUGUUGAGGUUUUGGUAAAAGUUCUUUGGAAUAGGACAUCAUAGAGGGUGAGAAUCCCGUAUUUGACCUUUACUUUCAACUUUGUGAUACACUUUCAAAGAGUCGGAUUGUUUGGGAAUGCAGUCCAAAAUGGGUGGUAAAUUUCAUCUAAAGCUAAAUAUUGGCGAGAGACCGAUAGCGAACAAGUACCGUGAGGGAAAGAUGAAAAGAACUUUGAAAAGAGAGUUAAACAGUACGUGAAAUUGUCAAAAGGGAAGCGUUUGACACCAGUGUUGUUUUUCUGAAAAUCAAUUAAAGAACUGUUUAUGCUAAGUUGUUUAGACUUUAUCAGCUAUCUGCUUUAGUUUUGAGCUUUUCUUUAAUGCACCUUUCAGUUAACAAGUCAACAUCAAUUUCUUUUGCUGUAAAAAAGCUUGAGGAAGGUGGCUUGAGAUUCGUCUUAAGUGUUUAUAGCCUCUUGCCUAUGCAGUCGGAGAGAUUGAGGUCUGCAGCGUAGAUCCUUCGGGGCUAAAUGCAUUUGUGCUAAGUUAUAGCAUUUUAUAGACAACUUGUUGACUAUGAUUUGUCUUGUAGCUUACUCGCUUAUGUUAUUUUACCUACGCUUAGGAUGUUGAUCUACAGAGCGAGAGU